rnacentral:RNase_P_RNA from 1 species
CGAGUCGACCGGGCGGUCGCGUCGGCGGGCCGCGAGCCCGCCGCCGAGGAACGUCCGGACUCCACAGGGCAGGGUGGUUGCUAACGGCAACCCGGGGUGACCCGCGGGAAAGUGCCACAGAAAACAGACCGCCGGACGGGUGGUUUACGCGGAAACGCGUUGAUCGACCGGUUCGGUAAGGGUGAAACGGUGGGGUAAGAGCCCACCAGCAUCCCGGGUGACCGGGAUGGCUCGGUAAACCCCACCCGGAGCAAGGCCAAGAAAGGGCCAUCGCCGAAAGGCAACGGCCCGCGCAGGCGUUCGAGGGCGGCCCGCCCGAUGUCUGCGGGUAGGCCGCUGGAGCCUGCCGGCAACGGUAGGCCGAGAUGGAUGACCGCCGCCGGCACCACCGGCAACGGUGCGUGCCGGGCACAAAAUCCGGCGUACAGGUCGACUCGUCCG